rnacentral:rRNA from 1 species
GAUGAACGCUGGCGGCGUGCCUAAUACAUGCAAGUCGAGCGAACAGACGAGGAGCUUGCUCCUCUGACGUUAGCGGCGGACGGGUGAGUAACACGUGGAUAACCUACCUAUAAGACUGGGAUAACUUCGGGAAACCGGAGCUAAUACCGUAUAAUAUAUUGAACCGCAUGGUUCAAUAGUGAAAGACGGUUUUGCUGUCACUUAUAGAUGGAUCCGCGCCGCAUUAGCUAGUUGGUAAGGUAACGGCUUACCAAGGCAACGAUGCGUAGCCGACCUGAGAGGGUGAUCGGCCACACAGGAACUGAGACACGGUCCAGACUCCUACGGGAGGCAGCAGUAGGGAAGCUUCCGCAAUGGGCGAAAGCCUGACGGAGCAACGCCGCGUGAGUGAUGAAGGUCUUCGGAUCGUAAAACUCUGUUAUUAGGGAAGAACAAAUGUGUAAGUAACGAUGCACGUCUUGACGGUACCUAAACAGAAAGCCACGGCUAACUACGU